AAAAACAAGAACCCUAGGUGGGAAAAUUGAAGAAAAAGUGUGGGAUUUCAAGGGAUUAAGCUAAUAAAGGUAAAAUUUCUUGAUUUUGACUUUUGAUUUACACUACCCAUGCAUUUCUCCUUAUUUUUCAUGGUUAGAUUUCAUGUUUUCAUGGUGAAUUCAUGGCUGGUCAAAAUGGGUAUUGAGAGAUAAAGAUGUUAGAUUGAUUUGAUUUUAAGUUAUGUUAGUGUUUUUAGUUAGUUUAGCAUAUUUAGAAACAAAACAAUAAGAAAAAAAUUCAUUUUCCCCCAUCACCAUCAAUGACCGAAUUUUCUAGGGAGGAUAUUGUGGCUGAAAUUGAUGAUAUUUCAUGAUAUUUUGGUGAUAUUUGAUGUUUGGUGAGGCUAGAAAUUAAAUGGGAAAUUUUGGUGUGAAAAUCUGAAUUUUUACCUAAUGUAUAGACAUAUGUGAUUAUUAACCCGGGACUGAUAAAUUGAAUCUCAUUCGCAGUCACUGAGGCAAUUUAGGUAUAAUUGGAGUGUAGAAAGUGAAAAAAAAUUGAUUUGGAGUUAAAUUUGAGGUUUUAGCCAAUUACACCAAGAAUAGUGCGAAUUAAGUCGAAUACCGUAUUUAAACGGCUAUUCGGACAUUUUGCAUCACAUUUCGUGCAUUCAUAUAGAUUUUAUAGAGCCUGAAAUAGUUUAUGAUAAAUUGACACAAUUUAUUGAAAUUCGUGACACGUAUGAUAUAUGGGUGGUGAGCCCUCUAACAAGGGUAAAUAGAUUGUGUCCGAAGACCGGGAAUAGGAGUAUAUCGAACUCCUAGUACUAUGAGUAACCUUAUUAUCAUUUUAAUUAUCUAAAGUAUGUUUUAACUCGGUUUUGGUGAAAUUUUAUGAAAAUGAGUUAAAUGGAAAAUUUUAGGUUUUAUAAACAAAAAUGUGUUUAAAUGAAAAGAUUUUAUAAAUUGUCUUGAAACGAAAAAACGAUUUUGAAAAUAGAGUAAUUGGAGACCACCAGUAUGUUGUAAAUUUAUGAUUAGAAAUUGAUGGCUUAUGUUAUAUUGUUAUUGUGUCGGCAUGACUGGCUGGGCUGUGUUUUAUGAAUUGUAUGAACUGUUUUAUUUUACCCUUACAGGCUAUGUAGUAAUAUAGUAGCCCUGUCAUGCUGUCAAAAUUUUAUUGUAUGGUGGGUUUAGCUUACUGCAGUAGGCGGGUUUUCGUGGACUAGCCUAUUAGAGGGGCAUUGUAAACCCCGUUAUAUUUUACCUCGGUUGGAGAGGCGAGUAAGGCAACUCUCGAGGUAUGAUUUUAGAGUUCACUUCACGCCAAACCACCACGUGAAGGUGAGCUCGGCCAACGCUAAGGAACGGCUAUAUUUUCAAAAUGAAAACAUGUUUUAUGCGUACAUGACUUUCUAAUAGCCUUGAUGAACUCAGUUGGGAUAGCCCUCGGCCAAGGUAUCCUAGAUAACUAAGUAUGAUAAUAAUUUUUGGCAUGAGCCAAGCUUUUUAAGAAAUUCAUAAGCCAUACUGAUUCUUGAUUUAAAUAAAUUGAUUUCAUUUGGUUGAAAUAAGUUGAAAGAUGAUAAAUUACAGUUUGAUGAAAUAUUUUAAUAGUCUCAUUUUACUUGCCUUUAGAUAUUUUGAAUAAUGUUUGUUUACUCACUGGGAUUUUAUAAUCUCACCACCCUCCUUUCCACCCAUUUCAGGCAUCAGGAUAGUCGGUAAAUAGCUCAUUUCAUCGAGAACUACAAUUGGAUUGGCAUCCUCAAAAUAUGUGGUUCAAUUCUUUUGACACUUUUAGUCGUUCGUGGGCCCACGUGUCACUGCAAAUUUCAUUUUAUACUUUGGUUAUCUAUAGUACAAUAUAUAUGAAUUUAUUUUGCUUUUUCGCUGUAAAAAUUAUUUAUGCAGUGUUCUAAAAAUAUUAGUUUAUGAAAAAUUGAAUAUUUUAUUCUAUAUCUUUAUUAUAUUUAAAUAGUUAUAAUUUCAUUUUAAAUGAAAGUUUUAGAUGUUUAAAUUUAUUUUUGAUUAUGAAUUAUGUGUUUUAUACUUUCAUACUACAUUUUUAACUAGUUUCGAAACUUUUGAGAAAAAAAUGACCAAAAUGCCCCUGUGAGACAGAAAUCAUUUUUUUAUUGAUUUCAGUUGGAAAUAGCUUAAAUUCUUUUAGAACAUGAUAUUUGGUAACGGUUGCUCACCGAGGAAAAGAGAAACUGAUAUUAAAGCCUUGCGGGAUUCCGGUUGACAAUCUGGGUAAUGAGUGUCGAUCGGGACAACGCAGCGGUUGUCUCGGGCUCGAUGGGAGUUCCGGGUCAUGACAUCGAGACUUAAAUCAACUUAAUUGUACCAUUAGGUACAAUAUCGUCUUUUAACGAUUUCGGAGGCAUUCAAGUAUGCAGACAUUUUAUCAAGUACCUAUACAAUAUGGCAAAUAUAUUAAAGAGUUGGGGUUGAAAAUAAAUGUCGUUUGUCAAUACCUCCUAAGGUAAUAGCAUACAUAACAACAUGUAAACAAUAAUCUUUACAUAUUAAUACCUUCCACAUAGUUCAUUAUUUUUUGUCAUAUAUAUGGUUACACAAUCCAACUUUCAAGGAAAAUAAUAUUAACUAUCAUACCACUAGUUACAACAUCCCAAGAUUCUUAAUGUAUCACACACCGC
rnacentral:lncRNA from 1 species